rnacentral:rRNA from 1 species
UACGUAGGGUGCAAGCGUUAAUCGGAAUUACUGGGCGUAAAGCGUGCGCAGGCGGUUAUGCAAGACAGAUGUGAAAUCCCCGGGCUCAACCUGGGAACUGCAUUUGUGGCUGCAUGGCUAGAGUGCGGCAGAGGGGGAUGGAAUUCCGCGUGUAGCAGUGAAAUGCGUAGAUAUGCGGAGGAACACCGAUGGCGAAGGCAAUCCCCUGGGCCUGCACUGACGCUCAUGCACGAAAGCGUGGGGAGCAAACAGG